rnacentral:rRNA from 1 species
GAUGAACGCUAGCGGCAGGCUUAACACAUGCAAGUCGAGGGGCAGGCGGGUUGUAGCAAUACAAUGCCGGCGACCGGCGAAAGGGUGAGUAACGCGUGAGCAACAUGCCCGAUACUGGAGGAUAGUCGAUGGAAACGUCGCGUAAUACUCCGUAACAACAGAGGCCGCAUGAUCUUUGUUUAAUAGAUUUAUCGGUAUCGGAUUGGCUCGCGUCCCAUUAGGCAGUUGGCGGGGUAACGGCCCACCGGGGCAACGAUCAGUAGGGGUUCUGAGAGGAAGGUCCCCCACAUUGGUACUGAGACACGGACCAAACUCC